AAACAUUGUUUAUAAAAGUUAUUAUAAAUACAACCUGCUCAAURAAAAAAUUUAAAUAGCUGCMAUUUUUGUACUAAGGUAGCAUAAUCAUUUGUUUUUUAAUUUUAAACUAGAAUGAAAGGUAAAACAAAUCAUUUCUUUAUUUUUUAUUUUAUUUUAACUUAUAUUAAAUAUAAAAAUAUAUUUUUUAAAAAAAAAGACGACAAGACCCUAUUGAACUUCACUUUAGUUUAGCUGGGGAAGCUAAAUAAUAAAUAUUUUAUUAUAAAUUUUAUAAAUGACCCAAAAUAUUUGAUUAACUAAUCAAGUUACCAUAGGGAUAACAGCGCAAUAAAUUUUUUAAGUUCUUAUACAAAAAUUUGCUUACGACCKCGAUGUYGMAU
rnacentral:rRNA from 1 species